GUGAACAAUCUCAAUGUCUUUAGGAUUAUAUAAUCAAAAGGUAAAUAAACAGAAUGAUCACAUUUCUUCUUUUUUUAUAAAUCAAAUUAUCAUAAAUUAACUCACAACAUCCCUCUUCCAGGUCUUCUUAUCAGAAACUCUCAACAUGGCUCCAACAGAGCUGUUUUUAAAGAUCAGUAGGAACCAAUGGGAUUGGAGCUGACAGCCACAGAGAAGUCAAAGAGUAUUGGGACACAGACCAACACAUUGUUGGUUUUGGGGUUUAAUUAUGCAGAACUUCAAGCCCUUAUAUAACAGCCACGGAGGUUGCUGCCUGGAUACUACACGAGGAGCUGCUAUGAACUUUAUGCAGGUCAUGGUUUAAAAAAAAUAAUGCAAAUGCAAAUGUGAUCUUUAAGAAAAAACAAAAGCCAAACUGUUUUAUAAAUAUAAAGAGGGACUAUUAACGGAACAUUUAGUGUAUGAAACAAAAGACCUGGUGUUCUCAGCUUGCAGCUGCUACACAUCUAACUUAUUUGCAAGUGCUCACAAUUUCAAACCUAUCUGACAUGAUAAUGCUGCAUCCAGGGGCAGACCUAGGGACAUAUUCAUGUAGUGGCAUAGGGGCUUUAAGGGGUGGCAGAUAUUUGAACUGCUGUACAUUAUUGUGGUACAUUAAUAAACCACAGAAGCUGGCAUUAGAAAUUAAGAUUGUUUUAUUUCCAAAAAGCAUUUUUGCUGCAGCGGCCACUCCAUGCAUCUCUAGAUCCACCCCUGGCCUCAUCACACAGGCCUUCUUCAUACAAUACGAGCGGUUAGUGACACGAGACUGCUGUAAUUCAACCAUCAACACAUGUAAUGUCAUAGCAAAGAUAAGCAAGAGAAAAUAAACGAGAUAAACGUCAA